AUGGAAGAUGAGGAGGUCGCUGAGAGCUGGGAAGAGGCGGCCCACAGCGGGGAAAUCCAAAUCUCCUCCCAAAGUGCCCAUUGUGAUUCAGGACGAUAGCCUUCCCGCGGGACCCCCUCCACAGAUCCGAAUCCUCAAGAGGCCCACCAGCAACGGUGUGGUCAACAGCCCCAACUCCACCAGCAGGCCCGCCCCUCCGGUCAAGUCCCUAGCACAGCCGGAGGCCGAGUACACCGAAGCCGGGAAGCGGAUCCUGGGCAGCGCCAGCCCGGAGGAGGGGCAGGAGAAACCCAUCCUCGACAAGCCAACUAGGAUCUCCCAACCUGAAGACAGCAGGCAGCCCAAUAAUGUGAUCAGACAGCCUUUGGGUCCUGAUGGGUCACAAGGCUUCAAACAGCGCAGAUAAAUGCAGGCAAGAAAAGAUGCCACCAUCGCCGCCGUCACCGCCUCCUGGGUCGUCUGCCACGGGUUGCACUGCCGUGGCAGGCAGCUGGACUUGAGCAGAGGGAACGACCUGACUUACUUGCACUGUGAUCCCCCUUGCUCCGCCCACUGUGACCUUGAACCCCAUGCACUGUGACCUCCCCCCUUCUCCCCCUUCCCACUGUGAUUGGCACAUCGACAAGGGCUGUCCCAAGUCAAUGGCAAGGGAAAGGGUGGGGGUUAGGGGAAGGUUGGGGGCACCCACCAAGGACUCAGAGUAGAGAGUCAGACAGUGCCACUUGGCCACUUGGGGUAAAGCCAGUGCCAGCAAUAACAGUUUAUCAUGCUCAUUAAUUUGGGAUUUCAAAACACAAAUGAGAACUCACACCCACCUACCCCCAAGUGCAUGUCUUCAUCACUUAAAAAGUAAGUUCCAUUUGAAAAUA